AGCAGCCGCGGUAAUUCCAGCUCCAAUAGCGUAUAUUAAAGUUGUUGCAGUUAAAAAGCUCGUAGUUGAAUUUCGGGAUCAAUUAAUUGGUCGUGCCUCUGGUACGUACUGAUUUUAUUGGUUUCUCCCUUCUGACGAACCAUGAUGUCAUUAAUUUGAUGUCGUGGAGAAUCAGGACUGUUACUUUGAAAAAAUUAGAGUGUUUAAAGCAAGCUAACGCUUGAAUACAUUAGCAUGGAAUAAUGAAAUAGGACGUUUGAUCCUAUUUGUUGGUUUCUAGGAUCGACGUAAUGAUUAAUAGGGAUAGUUGGGGGCAUUAGUAUUCAAUUGUCAGAGGUGAAAUUCUUGGAUUUAUUGAAGACUAACUACUGCGAAAGCAUUUGCCAAGGAUGUUUUCAUUAAUCAAGAACGAAAGUUAGGGGAUCGAAGACGAUCAGAUACCGUCGUAGUCUUAACCAUAAACUAUGCCGACUAGGG
rnacentral:rRNA from 1 species